GAAAAAGUAAGGAGAGUUCUAUGGAUAAUGAUUUUUUGUGCCAACAUAAGAAAACUGAGCUUAUCAAGUUUUCCACUCGAAGUGUACAAAGAGGAUGCUGCAUAAAACACUCACCUGAUCACUGCAAAUUCCAAGGAAUAGAUAUGGAGUCGGGACAAGUGCUAUUUGUAAGUGCAUGGAUUUUCCAGAAUAUAAAGGAUAUUCAACAAGUGAAGAAACAAAUAAAUAGUAUCGAGCAAGAAUUGAAUUAUUUGACAACACUGAAACACCCGAAUUUGACUUGUUACUUUGGUAUUAAACAUCAAGUUUUUAAAAAUAGCGUCACUGUGUAUUUGUUAGAAGAAUUUGUUUCUGGUUUAAACUUUUCAUCGCUUUUUUUAUGUCGAGAUAGUAAAGGUGAGGUAAAUUUUCUAAAGCACAUAGCACGAGGAGUCGUUACCGCAUUGGAUUAUCUUCACAGAAAUAAGGUUGUUCAUAAGGAUAUCAAAGAGACAUCUGUAUAUCUUUCUGACAAUGGUGAGAGAUAUAACUGAAACUAUCAUUUUGUAUUUUCUUGUUGGUGCUUUCAAAGUUUUGAUGACAGAAAUGGUGGGAAUUUUCAAGGUCAUUGUACGCCUCCA